UACGAAGGGGGCUAGCGUUGUUCGGAAUUACUGGGCGUAAAGUGUGCGCAGGCGGCCGAGCAAGUCGAGUGUGAAAGCCCCGGGCUUAACUUGGGAAUUGCGCUCGAAACUACUUGGCUGGAGUGUGGCAGAGGAAGGUGGAAUUCCAGGUGUAGCGGUGAAAUGCGUAGAGAUCUGGAGGAACACCGAUGGCGAAGGCAGCCUUCUGGGCCAACACUGACGCUCAUGCACGAAAGCGUGGGGAGCAAACAGG
rnacentral:rRNA from 1 species